GCUCCAGUGGCGCAAUCGGUUAGCGCGCGGUACUUAUACAGCAGUACAGAGCCGAGCAAUGCCGAGGUUGUGAGUUCGAGCCUCACCUGGAGCA
rfam:Egretta garzetta contig61587, whole genome shotgun sequence.